rnacentral:rRNA from 1 species
UGUUUCGGCUAGGGGGCCAUCCCGGCUUACCAACCCGAUGCAAACUGCGAAUACCGGAGAAUGUUAUCACGGGAGACACACGGCGGGUGCUAACGUCCGUCGUGAAGAGGGAAACAACCCAGACCGCCAGCUAAGGUCCCAAAGUCAUGGUUAAGUGGGAAACGAUGUGGGAAGGCCCAGACAGCCAGGAUGUUGGCUUAGAAGCAGCCAUCAUUUAAAGAAAGCGUAAUAGCUCACUGGUCGAGUCGGCCUGCGCGGAAGAUGUAACGGGGCUAAACCAUGCACCGAAGCUGCGGCAGCGACGCUUAUGCGUUGUUGGGUAGGGGAGCGUUCUGUAAGCCUGUGAAGGUGGCCUGUGAGGGUUGCUGGAGGUAUCAGAAGUGCGAAUGCUGACAUAAGUAACGAUAAAGCGGGUGAAAAGCCCGCUCGCCGGAAGACCAAGGGUUCCUGUCCAACGUUAAUCGGGGCAGGGUGAGUCGACCCCUAAGGCGAGGCCGAAAGGCGUAGUCGAUGGGAAACGGGUUAAUAUUCCCGUACUUGGUGUUACUGCGAAGGGGGGACGGAGAAGGCUAUGUUGGCCGGGCGACGGUUGUCCCGGUUUAAGCGUGUAGGUGUGUGUUCCAGGUAAAUCCGGUUCACUUUAACACUGAGGCGUGAUGACGAGGCACUACGGUGCUGAAGCAACAAAUGCCCUGCUUCCAGGAAAAGCCUCUAAGCAUCAGGUAACAUCAAAUCGUACCCCAAACCGACACAGGUGGUCAGGUAGAGAAUACCAAGGCGCUUGAGAGAACUCGGGUGAAGGAACUAGGCAAAAUGGUGCCGUAACUUCGGGAGAAGGCACGCUGACACGUAGGUGAAGUGAUUUACUCA